AGUCUGCAACUCGACUCCAUGAAGUCGGAAUCGCUAGUAAUCGUGGAUCAGAAUGCCACGGUGAAUACGUUCCCGGGCCUUGUACACACCGCCCGUCACACCAUGGGAGUGGGUUGCAAAAGAAGUAGGUAGCUUAACCUUCGGGAGGGCGCUUACCACUUUGUGAUUCAUGACUUGGGGUGAAGUCCGUAACGAUCAAC
rnacentral:rRNA from 1 species